GAGAGAGAGAGAGAGAGAGAGAGACGCAAGUGAAAUCAAUAGUUUUUGUUCAGGACUAGAAGGAUUUUGUUCCAAGGUUAUGUGAUGAAGACAUUGAUGAUGAUGAUGAAAAAUGUUUGAGAAGGAGAAAGUCCUCAACUUCAAAUUUUAUUGCAAGUUCUGUUUCUUGCAGUCAACAAAACCUGAGGAAUGAUAGGAAUAAGGUUAAGUUAUAAAAUCUUCAAUGACAAAUCUGGAAUAAGAACUCCUCAUAUGUAUUACUAAAAGCAAUUGCGAGCCGAGGAAUCUGGAGAAUUUGGCAAUGGAGGAAGAGAAUGUGGAGAAUAUGGCAGUCGAGGAUCUGAAGCCCAAAAUAGAAAACUCAAGAAGCUAGCCUUGUCAACUUGGAAAAAAUCUCUAUGCUGUACCUGACAGAAAUUUCCAUUCGACAGAUACCAAAAUCCAAAGCUAAAAAUCUUUAUUUCAUCAAAGUGCAAGUGCAUGUUUAACUCACGGAUUUUUAUUUUUUUUUCAAUAGGAAAAAAGUUUCCUUCAUAAUGAAGGAAAGGAAUUUCUGUGCCA
rnacentral:misc_RNA from 1 species